rnacentral:rRNA from 1 species
AGGUAGUGACAAUAAAUAACAAUGCCGGGCUAUCGUAGUCUGGCAAUUGGAAUGAGUACAAUCUAAAUCCCUUAACGAGGAACAAUUGGAGGGCAAGUCUGGUGCCAGCAGCCGCGGUAAUUCCAGCUCCAAUAGCGUAUAUUAAAGUUGUUGCAGUUAAAAAGCUCGUAGUUGGAUUUCGGGGCGGCCUGGUUGGUCCGUCGCAAGGCGAGUACUGGUCAGCCGCCCUUCCUCUCGAAAGCCCCGACUGCUCUUCAUUGCAGUGGUCGGGUAGUUCGGGACGUUUACUUUGAAAAAAUUAGAGUGUUCAAGGCAGGCUUACGCCUGAAUACAUUAGCAUGGAAUAAUGGAAGAGGACCUCGGUCCUAUUUUGUUGGUUUCUGGGGCCGAAGUAAUGAUUAAGAGGGACAGUUGGGGGCAUUCGUAUUUAAUUGUCAGAGGUGAAAUUCUCGGAUUUAUGAAAGACGAACAACUGCGAAAGCAUUUGCCAAGGAUGUUUUCAUUAAUCAAGAACGAAAGUUAGGGGUUCGAAGACGAUCAGAUACCGUCGUAGUCCUAACCAUAAACUAUGCCGACUAGGGAUCGGUGGAUGUUAGCGUUUGACUCCAUCGGCACCUUAUGAGAAAUCAAAGUCUUUGGGUUCCGGGGGGAGUAUGGUCGCAAGGCUGAAACUCAAAUGAAAUUGACGG